CUAGCUUCAGAUAAAUGCUUGCGUUGCCCGCUGAAUUCUGUGAGGACCUGUUUAUACCAGAAGGAAAGGCUUAAACCAGCCUGCAGCAUUUACCUCCCCCCCCAAAUUGGCCUUCUUUCUCAACUAACAAAAUAGCAAAGGCAUAAGGAGCCUGCUCCUUCCUCUUUUUCGGCUCAUCGCCAGAAACCCACAGACCACAGCAACUCCUAUUUCCAGAUCGGCAUGAGCUCUGCACUUCCACAUUUUGCACAAAGAAAAGGUGAUGGCUGGAGAUCUCCCAGAAUUACAACCCAGUUCUCCAGGUGACAGAGGAUGACUCAGCCCAAACCCACCUUCCUGAGUAGAUAUAAAUGACCUGCCAACAUCUUCUCCACACUGUGACACUGAGAGAUCUCUGUCUUUUGGUGCUACACCUCUGAAGAUGCCAGUCACAGCUGCUGGCGAAACGUCAGGAACUACAAUGCCAAGACCACGGCUAUACAGCCCGGAAAAUCCGCAACAACCAGUAAUAUAUUGCCUGCACCACUGAGUAACUACAGAAAGCCGCCACCCCCAUCAGCACCAAUGUGUUAAAGUGAUAUUAGCUUGAGAGACCCAUGUGCCUCUUGAACAUGUUACC